GAUGAAGAACGUAGCGAAAUGCGAUAAGUAAUGUGAAUUGCAGAAUUCAGUGAAUCAUCGAAUCUUUGAACGCACAUUGCGCCCGCCAGCAUUCUGGCGGGCAUGCCUGUUCGAUCGUCAUUUCAACCCUCGAGCCCCCCCGGGGGCCUCGGUGUUGGGGGACGGCACACCAGCCGCCCCCGAAAUGCAGUGGCGACCCCGCCGCAGCCUCCCCUGCGUAGUAGCACACACCUCGCACCGGAGCGCGGAGGCGGUCACGCCGUAAAACGCCCAACUUUCUUAGAGUUGACCUCGGAUCAGGUAGGAAUACCCGCUGAACUUAAGCAUAUCAAUAAGCGGAGGA
rnacentral:misc_RNA from 1 species